rnacentral:lncRNA from 1 species
CAACGGACGUUUCCUGGACGUUGUACGGGAAAACACACAAAGAGAAAGUCGUCAAAACAUGAAAGCAUACGCAAACGAUGAUACGGAUUUGUUGACAGCCAUUUCCAGUUAUCAAGUAAGUAGUUAUAAAAAAUGUCUAAAAUAUUUGACUUCUUAUAAUUCAUGGGGGCUUCAAGUUAUAUAGAUUUUGCCACAAGCUAGCCCUCAUACUCAAUAUUCAUAAAUUCCGAACGACAUCACAAAUAUCCAAGUCGUCGUAAAAUCAAUAUAUACGUACAUUCAAGCCCCAGUGAAUAAUUUCUUAAGUACACUCAUUUAAAAUUUGAUUAUUCGUCGCUUUCUUUUGACGCCCAGUGGCAAAUAUUGCACGCAUUUCCAGGAUGGUUAAAGAAAAGUAAGGUAUAUAAAAAAAUGGAGGAUUCCGUUACCACAACGAAAAAUGAUAAAGGAUAUCUAUACGGAGAAGGAAAAGUUCUAACUCCAAUUCUAUGAUCAUACUGUAUAGAAGGGAUGUAUAGAAUGCUCUUUAUAUAUUUAUACGAUCACUUGAUUAUAAAAGUAAUCAUAAAUUUCAUGCUUAAGCUGUGUUGAUAGAAACCAACGAUUUAUAAGUAACGCCUGGAUAUGGGCCUUCUUUUUCUUGAGGGAUCCCUGUACUUUAUAGUUAGGGUCCAUAUAUGGUUAGGGUUAGGGUUAGGGUUUGCUCUAGGUAAAGGUAAGGUUUAAUGUCUAGGUCUAAAUUUAGAAACGGAUGACUAAAAUGAAUAUACAAAGUAUUCAGACUUUUAAUGCACAUCAAUAUUGUGAUACUUUGACGAUUUUUUUAAAUGUAUAUAUAGUUCGAAGUGGGGAAAAACCUGUAUGUCCAAACCUAGUGACCAGUCAUCACUAGUCCUUUUAACUUGAUAAAGUAAGGAUUAUUUUUUUUAUAUAAUCAAAGGUGUAUUAGCUGUCAAAUUCAUGUUCAUCGAUAUGAAUCUAAGUCUAAUAUUUGAUCUAUAACAUACUAAAACAUCGAUAUGAAUCUAAGUCUAAUAUUUGAUCUAUGACAUACUAAACAUCGAUAUGAAUCUAAGUCUAAUAUUUGAUCUAUGACAUACUAAAACAUCGAUAUGAAUCUAAGUCUAAUAUUUGAUCUAUAACAUACUAAAACAUCGAUAUGAAUCUAAGUCUAAUAUUUGAUCUAUGACAUACUAAAACAUAUAGAUCUCCUAAUUAUAAAUAGUUUAAAUUAAAUAAUUUACAAAGCAUGGGCUCAUUUCUAAAAAAAAAGUAAAAUAACAAAAAAUCCGAAAUCAGAGGACAAUUCAAAAUUGAAAGUCCCUAAUCAAAUGACAAAAUCAUCAAAAGCUCAAACAAAUCAACGAUUGGAAAACAAACUGUCAUAUUCAUGACUUGGUACAGGCAUUUUGUAUAUGUAGAAAAUGGUAGAUUAAAUCUGGUUUUAAUGCUAUCUAAAUACUCGUAGUGUUUGUAAUAUUGAUGAAUUAUGUAGAUAUUAAAGUUUCUUUUUUAUCUAUGAAAUAAAUGAAGUAGAAUCAUAACGGAACGUCUUUUUAUUUCAUUGUAGUUGUAGACACUACAAAACUAUCACGGAGAAUGACAAAGGGACCAUGUGCAAUUCAUAAACAAGACCAAAUUUGUGUGAUACUGGUGGAGGGACAUUAUGACAUACUUGAUUAGACAUGAUAGUGUAUAGACCUUUAUUAUUCUAUUGGUGCUUGGAUAUCUAUAACUUUGAACUAAAUGUGUGUGCUCUAUUCAUUGGAAGAACAUAUAUAUACAGAUACAUAUCCAUACCCUGACGUAAGUAUUGAUUAUUGUUUUAAUUUCCAUAGAUCUGAUAACCAGUAUGAAUAACUUUCAUAUCAUUGGACUUAUUUUCAAUCGCCUCUUUUCCAUUGCGAUUGAUUUCAUAUACAGGUCCUACAACGUACCUAUUUAGAUUCUGAUUCAGAUAACUGCAUCCGAUAUCAAACCUGACAAUAAUAAUAAUAAUAAAUGUGUAAUUAUAUUAAAACCAAUGAUGACCAUGAUGACCCUUAAACUGUAGAAACAUAUGUUGUAUAUCAAAUGGUCUACAAGACCAACGUUACACAAACUCUGGGACUAAUACAUUGAAUUUUAUCUAUUAGUCCCAGUCAAACUAUAGUAAAAAAAAAUCGUUGCAGUAUAAAACAUUGUAUUCAUUUUGACUGGGAUAAGUUCUCAGCGAUGAAGACAGGACUUUUGCAUUAUUUCAAUAGAGAUAAGAACCAAAUACGCAUACAACAUGGUAAUGGGAGAUUCGAAACAUUGGCAAACAUUCAUGUGUAACAGUAAAUACAGUAGAUAUUUGUAAAGUUCAUCAUCUAUAGUACACGAGUCCUCAUCUCAUCUUGGACCAAAAGAUAAAGGGAAAUUCAUUCGCUUACGAUUAUUUUUCAAUUUCAUUGUCUCCUCAAAUUUACAUGUAAAUGGUUGUUUUGAUGGCAUUUUUCUGUUCAAAUCUGACGAUACAGUUUUUCUUACUCUCCUUAGAUUUGUAAUUGUAAGCUUGCAUAGGAUAAUUUUUAAUUGCCAUAACCUUACAACAAAGUUGUUAUUCUCGUAUCAAAAGUGAUUAUUUUCAAUUUUUGAACAAAUUAUUUGAAUAUUUUAUAUUUAUACAUCGUAUCUUUUUCCUUCACCCUUUGUUACCUUGUUUUUCUCUAAAUGAUUUAAAGGGGAAAUUCAAAGUGCAAAUUAAUCCGACAUCGUGUAUUCUUUUUAAUGAUAAAUGAUUUUGUACAUUUGUUGCAGUUCCGCAGAAAAAAGGUAUUGGAUAAUUUUGUUUUUAAAAGUAACUGAUUUUUUUUUAUGAAUGUGCAUUCUUUAUGGAAAAUAAUGAAUUUCCUGUAUCCAAAUUUCAAAAUACCAUAUAGCGUUUAAAAGACGAUAAAAAGAAGAAUAAACACCCAUGUACAAAUAAAUACAUUUCAUUCAAUAAGGUAAGACCAUGUUAGAAGUAAACAUUAUACAGUUUUCCUUAUAUAGUGAAAGGGAGGGGGAUCAGGACCUUUUUCGGGACGUCGGGAUCAGGUGGUUUUAAUCUCGGGAUUUCGGGAUUAACCCUUUCGGGGUCCGGGAAUUCUUCUUUUGAAGUUCGGGAUGCCGGGAUUUAUUUCUUUUAAAUUCGGGACCUCGGGAUUUCAUGUUUUUAAAUCCGCGAUUUCGGGAGCAGGACACCUCUGACCCUCUGGUUUACUUUUAUAAAUUUUUAUUUGGAUGGAGAGUUGUCUUAGUGGCACUCAUACCAUUAGAAUAAGUUUAUCCAAUUAUUGAUAAGUUUACCAUGAUCCGUAAACACUAUGAUCACCAUAAUAAUAAGGAUGUGCUGUUCCGUUUGAUUUAAUUUUCCACAGUUUAGGGCACCCACCAUGACUCCCUAACUUGAGACAAUGGUACAAUAGUACAACAUAAGAACAGAUCAAUCAAUGAGCCUGUAGUUCAUAAAGAUGCUUAUUUCUUAUGUAUAUAUUUCCCAGGUCACUUAAUUAAUCUGCCAUAAAAGUUAGUUAAAUUAUUUUAUUUUUUCAGAAUCACUGAUAAAAUCUUCUUCCCACGUUUGAUAAUUAACCUUAUCUUUCUUAACGGGAUUCCAUUCGUACUUGCCUUGGGGUGGUCGCCGAAGAAAUUUCAACUAAAUAUAUCAUAGUUAAAGUCACUGCAUGCGGAAAAGAUGUCGGCAAAAAAGAGUAAAAGAUAAUAAUUCAAUAGCAGUAUCUUAUUGAAGAUUUGGAUCAAAUAAAGGAUUUCUCUCAAAAGGAAGUUUAUGUGCACGUGUUUUCAAAUAAAACUAAAAGUGAAGUGAAACUUUAAAAAUAUACUUUCGAUCAAUAAGCUUGCCGAAGGGCUCUUACAUGUAUGUUUAAAUCUAUUUUCUAUAUAUUUUGGGAAUUAUAAUACUAGUAUAAGACAUUACGGACAUGAAUGCAUAAAACGCGUUCAGAGACAAGAAGUGGAUUUCAUCAGUGGCGAUUAUAAUAUUACAAGCAUAAAGGAAGGAAGUAUAAAGAGAGGGGCGAAAUAUACCAGAGGGACUUAUGGACAAAGUUAAUUAACUUUCAACAGAUGUGAUAGUAGACUCACUUUUCUUUACCAGCUUUCCCGCAAGAUUAAGUAUUAGCUAAGGAGAGAUAAAUAAGAUUUAAACAGUUUUAAUAGUGAUUGUUAAACAACAAACAUUGUAGACAAAUUUGUAGAAAACAGCAGCCGAUAUUUCAAAACAGUACAUGUAAAUCCUACCAAUAAAAAGUAAUUAUUUUUAAAAAUAAUUUCCGAUUGAAAUAGAUUACCAGAAAAUAUCGUGUGUGCCAAGACAAUAGCGAGUUUUAAAACUUCGGAUGCUCUCUCAUCGUUGGACCUUAUUUUCUAGGGCCUCUGUUCAGCUGCCGUUGAUACAUAAUGAUUGUUCGCCCUGCAACGUAUACCUAUUCAGAUUCAGAUUCUGAAUUUCAGACAUGUAGCAAUUCUAUUUCAUUUUUAUACGACCGCAAAACAUUUUUUGCGUCGUAUAUUAGUGUGACGUUGUCGUCGUCGUCCGAAGACACAUUUGAUUUGGUUUCCGGACAAUUACUUUAGAAAAAGUGAAUGAAUCUCUGAAAUUUUACCAGAAUGUUCAAUAACACAAAGGGAAGGUUGGGAUUGAUUUUGGGGGUUAUGGUACCAACAGUUUAGGGGCCAAAAAAAAAGGCCAAAAACAAGCAAGUUGUAGUUUCUGGACUAUAACUUGUGUGUAAGCGUAUGGAUCUCUCUAAUAUUGUACCACAAACUCCAUAUUACGAUGGAAAGACUGGGUAUGAGUUUGGGCGUAAUUGUCCCAAAAGUCAAUUAAGGGCCAAAAAGGGGGAUAAAAAAAAGCUAUUUUGUAGUUUCUGCACAAUAACUUUUGUGUAAGUGUAUGGAUCCCUCUGAAAUUGUACAGCAAUGUUCCAUAUCUCAAUGGGGAGACUGGGUAUGAGUUUGGGGGUAAUUCAGGAAUUAGGGCAAAAACAAGAAUUUUCUAGUUUCCAGAAAAUAACUUGUGCUUCAAUGUGUGGAUCUCUCUGAAAUUAUAUAUUGCAAGGUACCAUACUUAAGAGAAGUGGGGUUGAGUUUGGGGAUAAUAACUUUAAAAGGGGGAGGAAAAAAUUGAAUUUUUUUUAAUUUUUUUGUGUUUUUUUCUUAAAAUUGUCCAUUUGAUAUAUAUAAAAGCAAAACAUACUGAUCUUUAAUUGCACAGUAUUGCGCAAUAGCACAGUAUUGUCCAGUAGCAAGUCAUAUUCUAUUGCACAUUAUUGCUUAAAGGCACAGGAAAAAAUCUUCAUGCAAUUAUAAAUAAAGACAAAUAUUUUAACCCAUUUCAAAUUCUAAUGAUCUUUCACCACAUUUAUUUUGUGUCAGAAACCUAUAUUAUGUCAAAUUUUUUAUCACAAUCCAAAUUCAGACAGUAUCAAGCUUGAAUAUUGUGUUCAAACUUGCACCAGCUAUUCUCUGCGAUCGUAUCAGGCUGCGCUCUGCGGAGCAUUUUAUUUUAAGAAGCAUUUAUAAGGAUUGUUUACUUGUUUAAAUUUUAAUAAACAUA